rnacentral:rRNA from 1 species
UAUGCUUGUCCCAAAGCUUAAGCCAUGCAUGUCUACGAACGACGGUCAUGACGAACCGGAAUCUGCGAACGGCUCCGUAUAUCUGUUGUAAUCCAACGCCGACCAGUAACAGCGGCAAACCUCGGUAAUUCUGUGGCUAAUACGUGUACUACAGGCUGACCUCCCCAUGGGGGGCCAGCCCGGUCUUGCCGGUCGACCAACGGGGCCCUCACGGGCUCUCGCGUGAGUGCUGGCAAGGGUACCUGACCGCAGCUUCGGCUGUGGCCCGCGCGAUGGGCGCCAGACCUAUCAACUCGAUGGCCGGGCCAGGCCCGGCCAUGGUGAUUACGGGUACAGAGGAUUAGGGUUCGAUCCUGGAGAGGUAGCCUGAGAGAUCGCUACUACUUCUAAGGAAGGCAGCAGGCGCGCAACGUUCCCAAUGGGGAUACCCUGAGGACGUGACGGGACAUACCAAUGCUCGGCCCUUAAAGCCGAGCAAUUGGAAUGGGGGACCUCUAAACCCCACACCGAGUAACAAUUGGAGGACAAGUCUGGU